CAAUUCUGUUAAAAAAGACGCAUUUUGGUGGAAAAAAUGUUACUUGGUUCUUAGAAGCCUUCAGGAUUCAUAACCAAAUAUUAUCCUGUUUAUGGAAUUAACUGUGUUUAACUAUUUCCUGUUUUUUCAACAGCUCAGCUUCCAGCGCUGCUUUGCCUCCUGACACCACAAGUACCCCCACAUUUCCUGUGACCGAUCAGUUUGCAAUGUUUUACCCCUUGUAGAGGAGCUCUCAUCAUGCUGCCAACUGCAGUUCUCACAAAAUAGCUCUGAAGAUUUCAAUAACACAGAAUAUCAUCUUUUUUUGCUUCCUAAUAGCUGAUUGAGGUUCAACUUGUACAAGAGAUCUUCUAGAUCAGUCCCUGUUCAGGAUCAACAAAACUUAAAAACAAUGAUAGAAGUUCAAAUUCAACUUUGUGUUUGGCUAAUUCUGCAAGUAGAAAUAUAUCCAAUAUGAAUUAAAGUAAAAUAUGUACCCUAGUUCUUUGUGGGGGGAAAAAAAA
ensembl:lncRNA